CGGUGGCUCAUAAAAGCCCCGAGGCAGAGGCCGGGCAGCUUUCCCAGCCCCUCCGCUUGCAAAGGUGACCCAGGGACAGAUCUCAAAAAAAAAAAAAAAUCACCUCAUAGAAGGAUACAAUCCUGUCUCCUUUCUGAGAAACCCUAACACAGAGGUCUCCGAAGAACAGGGGAUUCAGGCGCAGUUCUCACUACGUGCUGAUGAAGGUGUGUUUGGCAACAGAGGUAUGUGCAGAUUUUACAUAACCUGACAAGGUGCAACACAGGUAGCAAGAGAAGCUGAGAGCGGGCAGGAGCGCACAGAGGCCGUGCUGGCUGGGAGAUGAAUGCUGCUCGGGUGCAGAGACACGACUUUACACGCAAACUAUGCUGAAGACAGAAAUCAACUGACAUGUUCACUCUGGAGGAAUCCCCCGGGGUACCAGCAGAAUGCAUUAACCGUGCAUUUCUCCAGCGAGCUGCGGUGGGAAGAGCACGGAGCCAGAAAGAAGCAGUUUCGCUUUUUGUUAACACAAGCAGAGAGAACAUGAAGAAACAAUCUCUCGAAGGAUACAGACUGACAGCAAUAUUGCCAUCUGACUAAAAAGAACUCAGAUAUACGCAUAAUCCUCAGGAAAAUUCAUCUCCACCCUCCCAACAGACCCUGGUGAGAGCCCUUGAAGUGGUAAUUAAAGUCUAUUGAGUGGCAACUGCACCUGUUUAGAGAGGAGAGUGCGGUAAGAGGUGCACAAAGGGAGAUGAGCAGCAUGGAGAGGGAGCGUGUGUGAGAGGAGCUGCUGGAGGUGGGGAAGAAGGGAAGUGGGAAGAAGGAAAAAAAAAAAGUGUUUGUUGGAGAAGUCAAUCCUGUAAGAUGUGCAUUUCCUAUUCUUCCCUUUAUUUGCUUUCUGCACCCCUUCACACACGCAGCCGGCUUCUACCCCACUCUCACACCCACUGAUGGAAACUCCAGGGGGUUUUCCCCAGCCAGCCUCAGCCCUGGACCACCUGCUCUUCUGGUGUAAAUCAACAUAGUUCCACUAAAGUCCUUGUGGACUUAAAAUCAGCUAGUGCUUAUUUACGCCAGCUGAAGAUCUGUCCCAGUGACACUCAUUAGCAGUCACCGGGCUCCUCAAACUGGCAGGCGGGACAUGCCAGUUCUUGUCUUUUUUUUCCUAGAAGAGAACACAUCCCUUUGUGUCGGCUCUGUCACCCCAGCGCAAAUCCUACAGCAUCUGGGAGGAGUAAAUCAGAGAUGUUUCUAGAUUUGGGCGGAUGUGUCUGAGAGCAGAGUCCAGGCAGAGACAGAGGGAAAUGGAAGAAACUAGAGGGGUGCAAUGCCGUGUUACCAGCACGGCUGCUGGUUUUGCUCCCAAACGUUCUGACCCGGUGUUACCUCAGACAUCCCCAGGAUCUCUAGGCGAAGCCACGCAGGAUUUAUUCAUAAAUAUUACUGGUGGCAGUGGAUUUUUCUAUGCCCUUGAAGGCCACCACUGACCCAAGGACCACAACUGGGGAACCACUGGUGUGUCCAGUGAAUUGACACUUUGCAGCCAGACUUGAGGGCCAAAUUCUGUGGUAGCACAAGGAAUAGGGCACUUCUGUUACCUUCAACAGACCAGUGCUGACUUGUGCCACUAGAUAAUUGCACCUCGGUCUGCUAAUGGCACAAACCAGCAGAUUAAGUGGCAAUACAAUGUGGAAAGCAGGACAUAGAAAGUGGGAGAGGGAAAUCCUCCAGCGUUUGAGGAGGAGAGUAGGAAAGAGAGGACAUUCUUUGGUAUAGAAAUCUGGGCUGCCCUAGCAACCAGGGAGCCAGAGACCAGCGCUGCAUAGCGAUCUAGAUGCAUGGGCCAGGGAAAUUGUUAUCCUGAGACCCAUGGAUUGACAGCAGAAAUCCUGGCUCCUUCUGCCAUAAUCCCAACUUCAUCUCUGAUGUCAGUAAACAGGGUUUCGUGCUGUUUGCCCUACUGGGCAUUUCAGAUGAGCCUAUAAAAGCUUAGUCAAAGGCCCU